AUUGAACGCUGGCGGCAUGCCUUACACAUGCAAGUCGAACGGUAACAGGUCUCCGGAUGCUGACGAGUGGCGAACGGGUGAGUAAUACAUCGGAACGUGCCCGAUCGUGGGGGAUAACGAAGCGAAAGCUUUGCUAAUACCGCAUAAGAUCUACGGAUGAAAGCAGGGGACCGCAAGGCCUUGCGCGAACGGAGCGGCCGGUGGCAGAUUAGGUAGUUGGUGGGAUAAAAGCUUACCAAGCCGACGAUCUGUAGCUGGUCUGAGAGGACGACCAGCCACACUGGGACUGAGACACGGCCCAGACUCCUACGGGAGGCAGCAGUGAGGAAUUUUGGACAAUGGGCGAAAGCCUGAUCCAGCCAUGCCGCGUGCAGGAUGAAGGCCUUCGGGUUGUAAACUGCUUUUGUACGGAACGAAAAGACUCUUUCUAAUAAAGAGGGUCCAUGACGGUACCGUAAGAAUAAGCACCGGCUAACUACGUGCCAGCCGCCGCCGUAACAC
rnacentral:rRNA from 1 species